GGUGUUGGUUGCAUUUGGAUCCUUUUCCAUGAUUAGUUGAUGGUUAAAUAUGAGCAUUAAGGACCAUCAACAAGCUCCCCCAAGCUUAACCUUUGCUCGUCCCUGAGCAAAGCUAAAAUCAGCAAGAAAACAAGGGUUACUUUUAUGCCUCUUACUACAGGGUUUUUAAGGUCUUAAGUGAUUGAAAAACAAAACGAUCAAGUCAAGCACUAUGUCUCAAGUCCUUCUGUCUUACCUUUGUUCUGGAGUUUUUUUUAAGUUACCAAAAUAAAACUGAGGCUUUUGCCUUCUUCUCAAAAGAUAUAAAAGUAGAGCUUUAAAAGUUUUAGCAUACUUACUUUGCAUUUUGCUAUGUCAAUGCUCGGAGCAAGGGAGAGGAAUGUCAUACUCCUAGAUCAAGACCUUUGACCUUUUUGAAAAGUUUGUCAUCUCUUACUGGCAUAUUGCUUAUUAGAGGAACCAUGGGCUAUCAUUUUUUUUCUUUCUCUCUCUCUCUCUCUUUUUUUUCAAGUGGGCAGCAAGUACCCCUAAUUCUACUGUCGGACACAUAUCCAUUUUUUCCACUCAGGUGGGUAUCUUUGUACCCCUAAUUCUACUUCGGACACUUGUCCAUUUUUACCUCUCGUCUCACUCUUUCUUUUGAAUCAAAUUUUUGCAUAGUCCCAUGCCUCUAACGCAAUAAUACUUCGGAAGAGUGAAUCUUUUAUAUUUUUAAAACAAAAAGAUCUUGAUCUUUGGAGCAUGAUAAUUCUCUCAACCAAAACUACAAGAAUUAACAAUGGCUUGAACAAAGCAAGUGUUCAUAGUUUUAAUAUUUAUAUCUUAUAAGACUCUAGGUAUUAUGUCAAAUAGGAUCUCAUCAUUUUUUUAGAUUUUCAAAAGAUAAAAUCUCCAGAACUCUAGCAAAACUUGGAACAAGUUCAAUAGUAGCUCAGACCUUCUCAUAUCAUGUUUGUCAAUUACCUAGACUUGGAUCAAACUUUUUCUUUUUAUUUUAUUUAAAAUUUAGGAUUACACAAAACUAUUGUAUAUUACUCAAAAGGAAAACAUUGUUUGGUUUCAUGGUUAUGCAUUUUUUUAUUUAUUUCCGAAUACUAGU
rnacentral:lncRNA from 1 species